rnacentral:lncRNA from 1 species
ACGGCUUAGUAGUAGAUGCAAAUUUCUCAACUUUCUAUUUGUUUUGUCUGCUUGGGACUGGUCGACUCAAAUCUUUUCUUAGUCAGCUAGCUUUAUGACUGGACUUACUGCCUUUCUAGGUCUACUCAGACAACUUGCUAAUUUAUACUGCUUUCUGUAUUCUUCUGCAUCUGAGACUGAGUUGGUUAUCUUUUUCUAUGAGUCAGCUAAGAUGUUUGUUGGAUCAACUCAAAAAAGAUUUUUAGAUCUUCACCUUUUUGUCUUCAUCUUGAGUUUGAGAUUGAAU